rnacentral:rRNA from 1 species
AGAGUUUGAUCCUGGCUCAGAAUCAACGCUGGCGGCGUGCCUCAGACAUGCAAGUCGAACGCGAAAGUUCCCUUCGGGGAGCGAGUAGAGUGGCGCACGGGUGAGUAACACGUAGGUAAUCUACCUUUGGAUGGGGAAUAACAACCGGAAACGGUUGCUAAUACCGCAUAAUGCAGCGGCACCUAAUGGUGACAGUUGUUAAAGCGGGGGAUCGCAAGACCUCGCGUCUGAAGAGGAGCCUGCGGCAGAUUAGCUAGUUGGUAAGGUAACGGCUUACCAAGGCGAUGAUCUGUAACCGGCCUGAGAGGGCGGUCGGUCACACUGACACUGACAUACGGGUCAGACUCCUACGGGAGGCAGCAGUCGGGAAUUUUGGGCAAUGGGCGAAAGCCUGACCCAGCAACGCCGCGUGAAGGAUGAAAUCCCUCGGGAUGUAAACUUCGCAAGAACAGGAAGAAUAAGUAAGAGUUAAUAUCUCUUAUGAUGACGGUACUGUUUGUAAGCUCCGGCUAACUCCGUGCCAGCAGCCGCGGUAAUAC